UACGGAGGGUGCAAGCGUUAAUCGGAAUUACUGGGCGUAAAGCGUGCGCAGGCGGUUUGUUAAGUCCGUUGUGAAAGCCCCGAGCUCAACUUGGGAAUUGCAGUGGAUACUGGCAGGCUGGAGUACGGUAGAGGAAGGUGGAAUUCCCGGUGUAGCAGUGAAAUGCGUAGAUAUCGGGAGGAACACCAGUGGCGAAGGCGGCCUUCUGGACCAGUACUGACGCUCAUGUGCGAAAGCGUGGGGAGCAAACAGG
rnacentral:rRNA from 1 species